rnacentral:rRNA from 1 species
UUCCUACGGGUGGCAGCAGUGGGGAAUAUUGGACAAUGGGCGAAAGCCUGAUCCAGCAAUGCCGCGUGAGUGAUGAAGGCCUUAGGGUUGUAAAGCUCUUUUACCCGGGAAGAUAAUGACUGUACCGGGAGAAUAAGCCCCGGCUAACUCCGUGCCAGCAGCCGCGGUAAUACGGAGGGGGCUAGCGUUGUUCGGAAUUACUGGGCGUAAAGCGCACGUAGGCGGCUUUGUAAGUUAGAGGUGAAAGCCUGGGGCUCAACUCCAGAAUUGCCUUUAAGACUGCAUCGCUUGAACGUCGGAGAGGUGAGUGGAAUUCCGAGUGUAGAGGUGAAAUUCGUAGAUAUUCGGAAGAACACCAGUGGCGAAGGCGGCUCACUGGACGACUGUUGACGCUGAGGUGCGAAAGCGUGGGGAGCAAACAGGAUUAGAUACCCCAGUAGUCC